rnacentral:rRNA from 1 species
AUUGAACGCUGGCGGCAGGCCUAACACAUGCAAGUCGAGCGGAUGAAGGGAGCUUGCUCCUGCAUUCAGCGGCGGACGGGUGAGUAAUGCCUAGGAAUCUGCCUGGUAGUGGGGGAUAACGUCCGGAAACGGGCGCUAAUACCGCAUACGUCCUGAGGGAGAAAGUGGGGGAUCUUCGGACCUCACGCUAUCAGAUGAGCCUAGGUCGGAUUAGCUAGUUGGUGGGGUAAAGGCCUACCAAGGCGACGAUCCGUCACUCGUCUGAGAGGAUGACCAGUGACACUGGAACUGAGACUCGGUCCAGACUCCGUGGGGGAGCAGCAGUGGGGAAUAUUGGAGAAUGGGCGAAGGCCUGAUCCAGCCAAGCCGCGUGUGUGAAGAAGAUCUUCCGAUUGUAAAGCGCUGUAAGUUGGGAGGAAGGACAGUAAGUUAAUACCUUGCUGUUUUGACGUUACCAACAGAAUAAGCACCGGCUGACUUCGUG